GUAGCUGUGGCUGAGAAGUUAAGGUGGUGGACUAGAAAGCUGUUGGGGUCUAGCUGUACAAGUUUGAAUCCUGUCAGAUAUG
rfam:Alligator sinensis unplaced genomic scaffold scaffold140_1, whole genome shotgun sequence